GCACAAUCCCGCGGCCACCCCAGGCUGCCACGAGCAUCUGCUCUAAGAGCCCAGGGCCCUGCGAGGCCUGAGAGGUGGGGGAAGAAGCUGGGAGCUGUGAGUGGUCACCUAAAGAUGCUCAGAGGUUAAGGGCUCUCUCAGGAGCCAGCAGACCAACGUGCUGGGGUGACCGUGUCCUUGUUCUGAGGUCAAGUCCAAGUGGUGACCGGGACCUUCAGUUCUCUGUGUGUGGAUUUGACUGACCUCAGGACGUGUGACUCACGGAAGGAAGGUGGACAGGCUACGUUCCCCACCGGAGGAGGCAGCAGCCACGCCCCCUCAGUGGAGGAAUUUGGGGACAGUCCAGCUUGAAGACCGUGGGCCACGUGGAUGCAUGUGGCCUGCUGGUCCGGCUGUCACGGGUCCACCAUGGGAUCUGCUCUGACCAGGCCUUAUUUUAAAAAGCAUGAAUGCUGAUUUUUAUCAGGGAAACGUUUUUGAGAAAUUCUCGGCAGCUCAAGCUCACCUGCUUUCCUGACUGCUGUCCUGCCGACUGAGAGCAGUUUUCUCCGGAGACCAGGCUGAGUGUCCAAGGAUCCUGAAAGCAUUGCACCAUCAUUUCUGCUGUCACUACUGUCCAGUGUUAGCCGUGAUGGGGCUGCUGGGGUCCCUAC
rnacentral:lncRNA from 9 species